rnacentral:rRNA from 1 species
GGAGUUAGCCGGUGCUUCUUCUGUGAGUGAUGUCCUUCCUGCCGGUUAUUGACCCGCAGGCCUUCUUCCUCACUGAAAGUGCUUUACAACCCGAAGGCCUUCUUCACACACGCGGCAUGGAUGGAUCAGGGUUGCCCCCAUUGUCCAAUAUUCCCCACUGCUGCCUCCCGUAGGAGUCUGGGCCGUGUCUCAGUCCCAGUGUGGCUGAUCAUCCUCUCAGACCAGCUACGGAUCGUCGCCUUGGUGAGCCGUUACCUCACCAACCAGCUAAUCCGACAUAGGCUCAUCCGAUAGCGCGAGGCCCGAAGGUCCCCCGCUUUCCCCCGUAGGGCGUAUGCGGUAUUAGCCUGGGUUUCCCCAGGUUAUCCCCCACUACCGGGCAGAUUCCUAUGCAUUACUCACCCGUCCGCCGCUCGCCACCAGGGAGCAAGCUCCCCGUGCUGCCGCUCGACUUGCAUGUGUUAGGCCUGCCGCCACGCGUCAUCUGAGCAGAAUACAACUACUGA